GGGGAUUUAGCUCCGCGGCAUAAGCACCUGCCUUGCAAGCAGGCGGUCAUGAGUUCAAUUCCCAGUAAUGAUUA
rfam:Cavia porcellus supercont2_1 genomic scaffold, whole genome shotgun sequence.